GAGCAUGUUUAAGGUCAGACUCUGUGCUCAGACAGGCUCCCUGGCUUCCCAUCCACUUCAAUGAGGGUGCAGUAUGCUUGUUUCAGAACUAAAGUUGGCUGCAAGGCAUCAAUUUAAGGACAGCUUUAUGCACUUAAAAGGCUGGACGUAAUUAGGACGACUUGUGGGAAAGAGAAGGAACAGCAAAACGUGAGAUCCGGAAGAAUGGGAAACAGAAACAUGGGGUGAUGCCACUUGGCCAAGGCUACAGAGGAAGGUGGAGGUAACAGAACUGUACCUUGAAAUUUCCCAGAGGUGAAGCCUGAGGUGAAUUCUCAUAAGCUCCAUGAAAAUCUUCAGCUUCGCUCUUGGAAUUCAUCUGGCUGAAGUUCGUGGCUUCCGCUUGACUGCUCAGCCCUGGGGUCUCUGUGCCGUAGGACGGCAGGCCAGCCGCAUCUCGGUCCUUGGCUCCUGUUUGGCUGCUCCUAGGGAAGGAACUGCUGAUGAACAAGCCUCUGCUCAAAAUAAGAGAGAAAAAAAUUAAAUGGUUAUAAUGCCAGAAUGGAAGAAAGACCUUCAGCCCUCACUCCCUUUCCCACCUCAGUUCUCACCCCAGUUACAAAGGGACCAUAUCCCUUUCUGUCCAUCAAGAGGAAUACCAUCCGGAUAGGGGAAGCUCAUGUUUGGCUGGGGAACCUGAUGGUGCAAACACCUCUCCACUGAGAUGAUAUAGAAAGAGUUCCACUGACUUUGGAGUUAGUUGCUGUGAAUUUGGCCCACUGGAGCUAUGACCUCAUGCCUGGGAGUAUUAUAAGUUGUUUAAAAUUUGCUUAUAUUUUAAUUUUUUUUCCCUGAGUUGAUCAGUAGUUAUAAUAUAUGGUGACAAUGCCUCCAUGGCUCAGUAGUACUUUCAUUAAUAACUAACAGCACAGCAAUUUCCUCCCAUUGUGCCUGAUCUGCUCAUGCAUUGCCAGAGGAAGUGCAGGCUCUGUACGGCAGUCUGUGACUUCAGGUUGUUUGAUACUUGUAAACUUAACUCUGCCUCUAUGAACAUGUACAAUCUCCUAAUUUUCACAGCAGUUCUUGUUCCUGUCUUAUCACUGUCCCAAUAAAAUUACUGUACAUCA